AAUUGCAGAAUUCAGUGAAUCAUCGAAUCUUUGAACGCACAUUGCGCCCUUUGGUAUUCCAAAGGGCAUGCCUGUUCGAGCGUCAUUUGUACCCUCAAGCUUUGCUUGGUGUUGGGCGUUUUUGUCUCCCUCUUUCUGGGAGACUCGCCUUAAAACGAUUGGCAGCCGGCCUACUGGUUUCGGAGCGCAGCACAUUUUUUGCGCUUUGUAUCAGGAGAAAAGGACGGUACUCCAUCAAGACUUUUACAAUUUUAACUUUUGACCUCGGAUCAGGUAGGGAUACCCGCUGAACUUAAGCAUAUCAAUAA
rnacentral:rRNA from 1 species